CAUACUUGAAAGUCCGUAGAGGAAACAAAUUUUUACGCCUUCUGUUUGACUGUUUGUCAUAUAUUUGGUUUUAUUUCCCAGGGAUCAGUGAAUUUUAACUCUGGAGUCCUCUAUGCUAAGGAUGCUCAGCUUACAGAUGAUGAAAUGUUCAGUAAUGGUGAGUUUUUCACCUUCUCCUUCAUUGUUUUGCUCAUCUGAAUAAAAAAAAAAAAAAGGCAAGAUUAAAGAAAAAGCAAUAGUUUUAUUAUUUUUACCCUGUUAUGUCUGUUUCCUCAGUAUUUGCUGGAGCUGUGCUUACCCAAGGUUUGGGUAAAACAAGCUUUGGGUUCCCUCUGUCUCACUGGGAGUUGCCCAAUUCAGUUCCAUCUGGUGAAAUUCACCCUGAGACCUUACAGAACCAUCUCCAACUACAUGCGAGCCAUUUGCAGUUCUCUCCAGACGCCUGGAGAAUGGGCGACGUUUCUGAGGAUCCGGCGAGCGUGCUUCUGUCAAAACUCAGUCUGUGAAGUUUCUGGGGAAAACCCUUCUGUGUCCUGAAGGGUUCAAACUCUGGCGAGGAUCCAGUUAUCAGGAUUUUUUGUCUUUGCAAAAUAUUGUGCAUUUCACUCUUUGGAACCUCUCAGAUGGUUCUUUGGUGCAGCACCACCCCAUGGGACACUUGGCUGCUGUCCUGAAGGGUUUGGUCGCUAGAAUUGUGAAUCCUGGAGAGUUUGUGAGUCUUCUGUCCCCAGGGAGGUAUCAUGCUUGGUUUACUUUUGUUCUGUUGGUUAGGCGCUGCUUCUCGUUGCAAGUAUGAAUUUCAAACUGCCCUGUUCUUAUUUUAACUGUUUUCCUGGUUCUCUCCGUCCGGCAGGGAAAGACCCUCGUAUCCUUGUCGUCGGGCUCGGUGCUGCCCAAGAAGAUACAGAGACUAAAAAAAUCAUAAGAAGCAAAAUAUGACUGCAGGGAAAAGAAGCUGGAGAGAACAGAAGACUCAUCACGGCGGGACAGCGUGAGGACUGAAAGUGUAAGAAGAUGUGGAGGGAAACAGAGAAUCUGACAGGAGCAGCGAACGCACGAGUGCACGAAUUUUGCUUUUUGCUUGGAUGUAAACUCAGGAGUUGAAAGGAAUUUGGGAGUGAGAAGGGACAUUUCAGAAGGAGAAGAAGAAAAAGAAGUUGUUGUUGUUGCUACAGUCCUGGCAAAAGCUUUUGUUCUAGCUAAUAAAAGAAGUUAGUUUAAAAAACAAA